CCUCUCCCUCUGUCUCCCUCUCCCCACGGUCUCCCUCUCAUGCGGAGCCGAAGCUGGACUGUACUGCUGCCAUCUCGGCUCACUGCAACCUCCCUGCCUGAUUCUCCUGCCUCAGCCUGCCCAGUGCCUGCAAUGGCGCCGCCACGCCUGACUGGUUUUGGUGGAGACGGGGUUUCGCUGUGUUGGCCGGGCCGGUCUCCAGCCCCUAACCGCGAGUGAUCCCGCCAACCUCAGCCUCCCGAGGUGCCGGGAUUGCAGACGGAGUCUCGUUCACUCAGUGCUCAAUGGUGCCCAGGCUGGAGUGCAGUGGCGUGAUCUCGGCUCACUACAACCUACACCUCCCAGCCGCCUGCCUUGGCCUCCCAAAGUGCCGAGAUUGCAGCCUCUGCCCGGCCGCCACCCCGUCUGGGAAGUGAGGAGCCUCUCUGCCUGGCCGCCCAUCGUCUGGGAUGUGAGGAGCCCCUCUGCCUGGCUGCCCAGUCUGGAAAGUGAGGAGCGUCUCCGCCCGGCCGCCAUCCCAUCUAGGAAGUGAGGAGCGCCUCUUCCCAGCCGCCAUCACAUCUAGGAAGUGAGGAGCGUCUCUGCCCGGCCGCCCAUCGUCUGAGAUGUGGGGAGCGCCUCUGCCCCGCCGCCCCAUCUGGGAUGUGAGGAGUGCCUCUGCCCGGCUGAGACCCCGUCUGGGAGGUGAGGAGCGUCUCUGCCCGGCCGCCCCGUCUGAGAAGUGAGGAGACCCUCUGCCUGGCAACCACCCCGUCUGAGAAGUGAGGAGCCCCUCCGCCCGGCAGCUGCCCCGUCUGAGAAGUGAGGAGCCUCUCCGCCCGGCAGCCACCCCAUCUGGGAAGUGAGGAGCAUCUCCGCCCAGCAGCCACCCCGUCCGGGAGGGAGGUGGGAGGGGGUCAACCCCCCGCCCGGCCAGCCGCCCCAUCUGGGAGGGAGGUGGGGGGUCAGCCCCCCCGACCGGCCAGCCGUGCCAUCCGGGAGGGAGGUGGGGGGGUCAGCCCCCCGCCCGGCCAGCCGCCCCGUCCGGGAGGUGAGGGGUGCCUCUGCCCGGCCGCCCCUACUGGGAAGUGAGGAGCCCCUCAGCCCGGCCAGCCACCCCGUCCGGGAGGGAGAUGGGGGGGUCAGCCCCCCCACCCGGCCAGCCGCCCCGUCCGGGAGGGAGGUGGGGGGGUAAGCCCCCCGCCUGGCCAGCCGCCCCGUCAGGAAGGGAGGUGGGGGGGUCAGCCCUCCGCCCGGCCAGCCGCCCCGUCCGGGAGGUGAGGGGCGCCUCUGCCCGGCCGCCCCUACUGGGAAGUGAGGAGCCCCUCUGCCCGGCCAGCCGCCCCGUCCGGGAGGGAGGUGGGGGGGGUCAGCCCCCCGCCCGGCCGGCCGCCCUGUCCGGGAGGGAGGUGGGGGGGUCAGCCCUCCGCCCGGCCAGCCGCCCCGUCCGGGAGGUGAGGGGCGCCUCUGCCCGGCCGCCCCUACUGGGAAGUGAGGAGCCCCUCUGCCCGGCCAGCCGCCCCGUCCCGGAGGGAGGUGGGGGGGGUCAGCCCCCCUGCCCGGCCAGCCGCCCCGUCCGGGAGGUGAGGGGCGCCUCUGCCCGGCCGCCCCUACUGGGAAGUGAGGAGCCCCUCUGCCCGGCCACCACCCCGUCUGGGAGGUGUGCCCAACAGCUCAUUGAGAACGGGCCAGGAUGACAAUGGCGGCUUUGUGGAAUAGAAAGGCAGGAAAGGUGGGG
rnacentral:lncRNA from 1 species